UACGGGAGGCAGCAGCAAGGAAUUUUGGGCAAUGGGGGAAACCCUGACCCAGCGACGCCGCGUGAGUGAUGAAGGUCUUCGGAUUGUAAAGCUCUGUCUUUGGGGACGAUAAUGACGGUACCCAAGGAGGAAGCCACGGCUAACUACGUGCCAGCAGCCGCGGUAAU
rnacentral:rRNA from 1 species